ACUAUGGAUAAAAUUCAUAUAAAUAAAACACGGUUUUUCUUACUUAAAAACUAUCCUUAUAUCACUUUUUCAAAAAGUAAUUUUCUAAGCCCUUGUUUGGUUGGGGCUUCAGGGAUAGAAUAAUCCCUUAACCCUCAUAUUAUCCCCAAACACUCCCAAAAAUGUGUGGAGUUAGCUAUCCUUCUUAUCCCGUCUACUCCAAUCAAACAUUAUUUUUCACUAUUCUGGACUAACUCCAACCCCCAACAAAACACAAAAUUACUUUAACCCCAACUUAACCCUGAACUUAACCCUAUUUGUAAAAUAAUUAGUUUUUUCUUAACCCCGAACCAAACGGUAGCUAAGAGAAUCUCUUCACUACUCAGGGCUAAUGC
rnacentral:lncRNA from 1 species